CAGCACCUCAAGUGGUCAGGAUGAUUAUUGGGCCUAAGGCAUCCGUAGCCUGCUUUGUAAGUUUUCGGUUAAAUCCAUACGCUCAACGUAUGGGCUGCCGGGAAUACUGCAAAGCUAGGGAGUGGGAGAGGUAGACGGUACUCGGUAGGAAGGGGUAAAAUCCUUUGAUCUAUUGAUGACCACCUGUGGCGAAGGCGGUCUACCAGAACACGUCCGACGGUGAGGGAUGAAAGCUGGGGGAGCAAACCGGAUUAGAUACCCGUGUAGUCC
rnacentral:rRNA from 1 species